ensembl:lncRNA
GUGGACAUGGAGACCUUGAAGCCUCUUCGAGCCCAGAGAUCACCACUGCAUGGGAGACAUAUUAAUGCAGAGUGACAAGGACAUGGGACAUAGACUAUCUGUCUCACUCUCUCCCCCUAUCUGUUUCUCUCCAUAGUGUACGGUUUCAGGAAUAGCCACACUAACAGAAGGACGGCAUGAUGGGGAGCUUGGAAUGUAAUCAUGUCAUUACCGUGUGAGUGAAGUAUGAAAUGCUCACCGCCAUUUAGUACAAAUUACAGCCAUCAACUCCACCCACGUUGCAUCAUAGCCAUUGAUUCCCGAGGGAGCAAUUCUUCAAAUUUUCUUCAAAUCUUUCUUCCACAUGCCCAGCUGCACAUACUCCGUCGACUCUGUCCUUCUACUCCUGGCUUGUGAAUUCCACUCAAUUGCCCCGGUUAAUGGAGAGAACACAAUAAAGCAUCAGCCACUCUUGGAGGUAAAACUCCUCUAUGCGCCCCGACAUUGAGCAGGAAAUCUUCAAGCCUGAAUCGGCCUUGGCACAGCCUGGUUCUGUUUAGCAAUGCUGGGUUUACAUGAUCGACUGCCAUAUUGAUAGACCCUCCACCAUGGCACGGUAAUGCAUCCGGAAUGAGCUGAGAACUAAAAUCAGCCAUGCACCCUCACGCCCACCGCUGGCGUUCGACUCCGCUGUAAUAGUUUCUAUUUGUGGAAGAGGAAGGAUAUAAACAAAUGCAUUAGCUUUGCCUCGCCACAGGAACGACGGGGGAAAACAAGUCAAAACGAACAGCGGGAAAGAGAGGAGGUGAGGCGGUGGGUGCAGAAAGGAGUGGGGGAAGGCAGGAAUGAAAUGAAAAUGUUGCGAUUGGGAUGUAAAACUGCAAAGUGGCGUGAACAGAUAAGGAAAGGAGAGAGAGAGUGAGAGGGAUGGGGGGAGGACGAAGAUGGUGUGAGUAGAUCCAAUCUCCAACCCUGUCAAUCAGAACUGCAGUGUUUACUGCCCACACAUCCCUGCCCCUUUUACAGGCAUUACACAUGCAGUGAAGACUGUCUCGCGUUAGCCAUAUUGAUCAUGUGCCAGGGCAGACCGGCGGCCUCUGCUGAUUGAAUAUGUUGGAUGACUUCCAUUGUGGAGCUUCAUCUUCAAAGUGGUUCCGAAGCUCUGGAUCAAACGCAGAGUGUCGUAGGUGAUUACGGACGGUAAUGAUAAUGACUUUGUUCUGUUCUGGAUGACUGUUUGAUGAAUUUUGUUAGGCUUCUUCUGCGGCUCUGAAGUUCAAAGAGCCACGCCGA